AGGAUAAACGCUGGCGGCGUGCCUAACACAUGCAAGUCGAACGUCUCUUCUUUCGGGAAGAGGAGUGGCGGACGGGUGAGGAACACGUGGGAACCUGCCCUUUAGUGAGGAAUACCGGCGAGAAAUCGCCGACAAGACCGCAUAGCCCUCUUUGAUGAGAGUCAAAGAAGGAAAGCUUCGCAAGAGGCGCUAGAGGAGGGGCCUGCGUCCGAUUAGCUAGUUGGUGGGGUAAGAGCCUACCAAGGCGUCGAUCGGUAGCUGGUCUGAGAGGACGAUCAGCCACACUGGGAUUGAGACACGGCCCAGACUUCUACGGAAGGCAGCAGUGGGGAAUUUUCCGCAAUGGGCGAAAGCCUGACGGAGCGACGCCGCGUGGAGGAUGAAGUAUUUAGGUAUGUAAACUCCUUUCAGCAGGGACGAAAAAAUGACGGUACCUGCAGAAGAAGCAUCGGCUAACUACGUGCCAGCAGCCGC
rnacentral:rRNA from 1 species